AAUGAACGUUGGCGGCGUGGAUUAGGCAUGCAAGUCGAGCGAGAACCCCGCAAGGGGGGACAGCGGCGCAAGGGACAGUAAUGUGUAGAUUAUCUGCCCUCAGGUCCGGGAUAGCUGCGGGAAACUGCAGGUAAUACCGGAUAACAUCUCCGGAUCAAAGGUGUGAUUCCGCCUGAGGAUGAGUCUGCAUCCUAUUAGCUAGUUGGUGGGGUAAUGGCCUACCAAGGCAUUGAUGGGUAGCAGGUGUGAGAGCACGACCUGCGUCAUUGGGACUGAGACACUGCCCAGACACCUACGGGUGGCUGCAGUCGAGAAUCUUCGGCAAUGGGCGCAAGCCUGACCGAGCGACGCCGCGUGUGGGAUGAAGGCCUUCGGGUUGUAAACCACUGUCAGAGGGGAUGAAAUGCAGGUGGGUUCUCCCAUCUGUUUGACAUAGCCUCAGAGGAAGGACGGGCUAAGUUCGUG
rnacentral:rRNA from 1 species